AUCCUCCGGUGGACCCAGCCGGGGCGGGAGGACGCGCGCUGCCCAAACUUCGCCAGGGGCGAGCUGGAAGUGGACACGGCUUUCUGGAGCUUUAAACGUGGACAGACUUGUGCUUGAACUCUUUCUGUGGCGCCCGGCCUUUUUUUUUUUUUUUUUUGCCCCCGAUUCUAUAGUAGAGAAAAGGCAUGGCAGAGUUUUGUGGAAUGCACUGCAGCAUGCAUACCCGCGGGGCUGGGAAUUAUUUGAGCCGAAAGCACCGUUGGUGUUUUAUAAAUCCCAAGGGAGGUCUGGGGCGAACUUUCAGAUUUCCAAGCCGAGAAACAGCGCUUCACAUUUAUUCUAAUUGUCUUACUUCUUAAGGACGCGUGUGGAGAUGCCGCUGUCUCGUAGAUGGCAUCUUAUCAGUAGCUUCACAACGAUGCGUAUUUUGUCAUUCUGAUUCGGACGUGAGGGUGUUUUUCCCUCAUCCCCUUCCCUGUUUACCCUCUAGAGACCACAAAAAUAGUGGAAAACAUGAAACAUGUUUUAUUCCCGCCCCCCUCAAAGACUGCCUGCCUUUGUUGGAUACUUAACACAAACUUGUUACACAGUUUUUAAAAGUGUAUAAAAAGGGAGGAUGCGGGGGUGGGGUGGGGAAGCACAAGGAAAGUAUAACAAAAUAAAACACAACAAAUAUUGGACGGUGACUGUCCUCUUAAAGGACUCUUGUGGGUAAUAGGAUUUGCACAUUGUUUGACCUAUAAACUCUUCUGGUUUAAGAAACUCAAAUAUUUGAUCACAAGGAUUGGCUUCAUGUAACAUUUAUCGCAUGUACUUAAAAAAAAAAAUCCAGAAUUAUGGUUGUUGUAUGAUUGUUAUUCCUAAACUCUUCUUUUAAAAAGGAGAAGAAUCUUUAUUUGCUUAUUUUCUACAUCACUAUAACAUUAAGUAGGAGUAAAGUAAAUAUCUAAAUAAGCCCAGUUUUACUUUUUAUGGUACCAAGCUGUUGGGUAUCUAAAAUGCUUUAUUGAUAGUAAUAUAAAAAGAUGAUACACUUUUUAAUAGUAAAGAUUCAAUCAAAAAAAAAAAGAGAAAAGAUUAAAAAAAAUCCAAUCCCCAUCAUUCAUUAUUUCAGCAUUUACUGGUUUUUUAAAAACACAGCCUGGUUCAACAUAAAGAUGUGCAUUUGCAAAAGCAUAUUCCACCUAUUUAUUUGAAGUUUGAGCUGACCUUUUAGAAAAAAGAAUAGCUUUUAUUCACUGCUUUGAUUUGUGGUUUCAAAAGCUUUGGUCACAUUCUCUUCCAGUGUCUGCUUUCUUUGGCUUCUCUUACAUUUUCCCUCCAUCUUCGUCAACAUAAGCUGAUGUUCUUUCCUUUCUACUGAUUGAAAAAAGAUGAUUGAGGGAAAAAUUCCUAUAGGUAUAACUCUCACAACAUAUUCUUGUUUCCUCGCCCCCAAAUAAAAUCCAUAUUUUAUACUAAUAAUUCAAACCCAAGAAAAAGAUGAACUAGCAAAUGAUGUAGAUUUCCUUUGUACUUAAUCAUUCUUUUAUAAACUUUACUUCCCUGAAUAAGAGGUUUCACCAUUUCAUAGAUGUCUGGGGUGGUAAUGGGCACAGGGAAGACUGGAACUCUAAACGCCUAGUUCAGAACUCAUCCAAAGGCAGUAUUUAUUUCCAGCUACACAAGGCAGAAUGAGUCAAGUCUACCCCACAGAUCUUAAGUUUUAAGUUAUCACAUUCCUAGUCCUUUAGGUACUCAGUCAAUGAGCUCAUUUUGAUUGAUUGCAAACGUCUAUUAUAGACUAAAUGUCUGCUAUUUAGACUAAUUUAGUUAAACUAAAACUCUUUAGAUAUUGAGAAAAUAAUUACGUAGAAUAUAGGCACCACAGCAGUAAAGCUUAAGGCCCCAAACGGCCAGCCCCUUCCUUUGAAGCCCAUUCCAUUUCACAAAUUCAUUUCAGUUCUAUAAAUAUUGGAAUAUUUACUGUUUCUUCAAUAACGGUGGGGAAUACAAGAAUGAAUGUGAUUCGGUAUCCAUCCUUCUGUACCUCCAAGAGUAGCGUUGAGGGGAGGCACACAUGUGUAUUACCAUUAAACGCAAAAGAAUCUAUAAAAAGUUUGGCCUACAACUGAAUCUUCUCCACAGUUCGGAUGUUUAUCCAUUUGGCAGUCCUUGGUUUAUUGGGGUCUUGGUUUGCUUUUCCCAACAAAAUGGUAAUUCCUAGAUCCAUUGAAGUCACUUCUGAUUCAGUCUAAGAUUUUAGACACCAUUUUAUUCUGAGCUCUUAACCUCUUGCUUUGGUAACAGAAUAAAUGUCAUUUAAAGACAUAGGUAGAUAUAUUAUCACAGUGAUAUUGCUGUGAUAAUUCCAUAUUUGAAGUCAUGGUGACAUUUUUAUGCUUGGAAACUCAAGUCAAACUUCUCUGUUUUGAAUUUCCUGUUUUAGAUUAAUUAUCACUAAACUCCCAAGUUGUUGAAACCUGGGUGUCCCAAGGGACAUUUUCUUCAAGCGUGUUAGAAUGGCUUGCUCCCUCCCCAGUCUCUACAUCUGUAACUUCACCCACAUGAGCCUCAUCACCUAAGACCUUAGCCUCUUAAUUAAUAAUAGAUGCCAAUUAUGGAGAAUGCCUGCUAUGUUACAGACCAUGUGCUCAAAACUUUGCAUUCAUUUUCAUACAAAUUCAGAUCGACACUAUGAUUAUGGCCAUUUUUAAGUAGUAACAUUGAAACUCUAAGAAGUAACUCGGCAGGCAGAGACACAGUUAAUAAGAGAACAGCUCAUUUCAAGUCCAGGACUCCUCUAAGUCUAGAGCCUGAACUUGCAUCUUUAUCUCUACUCCUAUACUGCGGAAACUUUGAUGGCCCUCUAUGACCUACUCUAAGAAACAGGCUCCUCUGCCAAGAAUUUAAGACCGUUGAUGAUCUGGACACACAUAGACCAUUUCCUAAUACACGUUUCCUAGUACUAGUCAGCUUGCACAGAAGCUUGCACGGAUUCUGCAGCCAACAGUCAAAGCAGCAGCUCUGUAAUUCAGAGGUGAUAACGCAGAAGAAUAAGUAGUAUUCGGUCGUAGUACUGAAUCAAGCUUCCUCAUCCUUCCCACCUCCUCAGCUCUAUUACUUUGCUCAAGCAGUGUGCUCUCUUCUUUCUUAAGAUACUUCUGUAAAUCAGCUCAAGCUUUCCUUCAUUUAAAGCCUCUCCUAUCACUGGCCACACUCUCCUCUUUCUUACCAGUGCUCACUUUGUAUGUAUGUGGUCAGCCCAGAGACGUGAGCUGCUACUGUUAUUGAUUUUUAUUAAUAGUUAAUGUUUACAUAAUAUUUAGUAUGUACAGAGUACUGCUUUGUUAACAUAUAUUAAUUCAGACACUAGUCCAGUGUACCUUAGUUAACUGUCCCCAAAUAAAUUGCAAAGUCCAGUCACAUUUUUUUUGUAUUGAAUUUCUCAAAGAACUUGGCCAAUAAUCACUUUCAGUAACUAUCUGUUGAUGAACUAUGAAGGCUAAGACCCAUCCCACCUACUUAAGGAAUGUGACCCUUUAGGUGUUACUUAGCACCUCCAAGCUUUGUUAUAUAAAGAAUAAUAAAGUCAGCUGUGGAAAUUCCCUGGCAGUCCCGUGGUUGAAACUCCAAUCUUCCACUGCCCCAGAGCACAGGUUCAGUCCUCAGUCAGGAAACAUCCAGCAAACCCCAUGGCACGGCAAAAAAUAAAUAAAGUCAGCUGUUUCAUAUAGGUUUGCUUUGAGGUUUAACUGGGAAACGUCAGAAACUUAUUUCAUCUAGUUCCUGAAAUGGUUGUGAGUGAGAGUGAAGUCGCUCCGUCAUGUCCAACUGUUUGCGACCCUGUGGACUGUAGCCCACCAGCCUCCUCUGUCCAUGGGAUUCUCCUGAAAUGGUUAGUGUUCCAGAAACCAUGUGGUAGUGCUUGCUGUUGAAGGUCUGGGACAUGCUGUGGGGUGGGGAAGAAGAGUGACAUAAAAUGUACUUAAACAAAAUAGUUGAAAUUCAAAAGGCCUAGUUCUAACAGUCACAGGUACCAGUGUCCUGUUAAGUAAGCCUCUGUUCCAUCAACUAGACUUAUCUGGUACUCAUGAUAGCCACUAAACAUUUCCACGAAUCCAACUUGGCAGCUUGGUCCUUACUUUAUGCUAAAAGGAUCCCAUGCCAUAACUCUUCAGUGGCCUGCCACCUCAUUUCCAUGUUGCUUACUGAUUUGGUGUUCUCCCAUCUACUAUCAGGGCUUCCCAGAUGGCUCAGGGGUCAAAAAUUCCGCCUGCCAAUGAAGGAUACACAAGAGACGCGGGUUUGAUCCCUGGGUUAAGAAGAUUCCUUGGAGAAGGAAGUGGAAACCCACGCCAAUAUUCUUGCCAUGGCGUCAUAGAAUUGGACAAGACUGAGUGCACACACACGCACACGGCUAUUAUCAGUGCAUUUCUCUCUGACCCGUUGAUUAUACAUCCUGCGUCCUGGUUCUGAGCUUUUCUGCAUGGCUCCUCAUCUUUUUUCCUUUGAUAAGCAAGCAAUAUUAAUAGAUUUAUUAUUAUAGGACACUUGUAAGAGAUGCUGGUGGGGAAGCUCUGCCUCGUGGCUCCUCAUCUUUAAACUGCUGAGUUGUUUCCAUUAGCUAAAUUUUCAGCAGACUUGUCCUUUAGCAUCUUCCUAAUUCUUUAAGUGCCCAGCUUUAGGCAUUUUACACAUUUUCAAGUGCCAUAAAGCACAGGUCCUCCAGAGAAAUUCCUCCACUGCCACUUGAAUGACUUAAAGUGACUUCUUACUCCUUAAAGAAAAGAGGAUAUUUUUAUCUAUGCCUAAAUUUGAUUAUUUACCCUUAGAAGAGAAGCAGAACCAACUUAAACUCCAGUCCCUAAUUUAUUAAUAAACUCAUAUGUUCUCAUUGGUCACUCCACACAUACCAGAGGUUCCCACAUUCACGAUGGGACACGAUGACCAAAGAUGCUGGUGAUUUUUAACAGCUUUAUUGAGGCAUAUUUUACACAUCAUAAAAUUUACCUGUGUCAAGUAGACAAUUCAGUGACUUUUAAUAACUUUACUGAGUGGUGCACCGUCACUAAAACCAGGUUUUAGAACAUUUUCACACACUUCCCCUUUAAGAGCUAUUGGGCCCAUUUAUACUAACACCCAUUAGCAUGACAUAAAUUGCAAUUUAAAAAAUAGUCAAAGUUCAUCCCCAGCCCCACUAUUUUCUCUCUCUAAAUUUCCUGUUUCUGAGCUUUUCAUACAAAUAGAGUCACAUAUAAUAUGUGAUCUCUCGUAUCUGCUUCUUUCACUUAAUAUCCUGUUUUUGAGGUUCAUCCAUGAAGUAGCAUGUGUCAGUGGCCCAUUCCUUUUCCUUCCCGAAUAGUAUUCCACUAUGUGGAUAGACCAUUUGUCUGUAUGUCCACCUGUUCAUGAACAUAAUGUGUAAUGCUGCCUUGAAUACGUGUGUGAAAGUUUUUUUGUGGAUAUAUGUUUUCAUUUCUCUCAAGCAUGUACCUAGGAAUGUGACUACUGGAUCAUAUUGUAACUCUGUGUUUUAACUUUUUGAGGAACUGGCAGACUGUUUUCCGAAGCAGCCACACCAUGUUACAUGCUCACUAGCAGUGUAUGAGGGCCCGUGGUUAGAUUUAAGAGAAAGUGCUUUCACAUAGCAGGGAAACAAGACUGUAAGCACCUUAAAGAUAUGUCAGUACCUUACACUUAAUAACAUAACAGGUAUCUGUUGCAUUGUUAAUUGAGUGACAUUAAUACUUAUGAUUUUGAAAACUUCCCCCAAACGACAAUGUUAAAAAGUUAACUCAGGCUGUCAUACUUGGGACCUGUUUUUGCAGUCUCCUAAAAUUUUGCAUGUAACAUUUAUUACUGGAUUAUUUUUAAUGAUGAAAUUUACAAAGAAGAGAUUUUUAAACAAGACUAUAGUGUUCUCCCAUACAUGCUAACAUAUUUAAAAGCUAAAAAAUUAAAACAGUAUAGAUAGGUAUAAAAUGAAAGUAUUCCUCCUCUCUUCUACCUGACCGUUCCUGUUCCUUGUCUCAAAGGUAACCACUUGCCAAGGGUUCAGGUUUUGUUUGUUUUUUUUUUAAUAAUGUAUUUUAUUUAUUUAUUUGGCUGUUCUGCUGGCUCUUGGUUGCGGCACUUGAGAUCACUGAUCGUUCUGGCGGGCAAGAUCUUUUAGUUGCAACAUACAGGCUCUCUUUUUUAGUUGGGGCCUCAGAAUCUUUAGUUUCGGCAUGUGGGAUCUAAUUCCUUGACCAGGGAUCGAACCUGUUCCCCUUGCACUGGAAACACGGAGUCUUAGCCUCUGGACCACCAGAGAAGUCCCUUUGGAUUUUGUUCUUAUGCUAUUGUCAUUUAAAGCCAGAGUCAAGUUUUUUUUGUUGAUUUUUCUUUUUCUUUAGAAUAUCCACCUCCCAGUAUGACUCUAAGCGUGCUGUACUUGGCACAAUGAAGCACCUCGUGAGGUUGUCAGGAGGAUUAAGUGUGAUCCUACAGUAUCUGGACUGUACACUGUAAGAGAGCUAAAUAAACAGCAGCCGUUAUUCUCAUGAACAACUUUUCCCAAACUUCUUUGCAGAAUAAUUAAUUAUCUAGGUGACCUGGGCUUCUCUGGUGGCUCAGAGGUAAAGAACCCGCCUGCCAAUGCAGGAGACACAGGUUCCAUCCCUGGGUUGGGAAGAUCCCCUGCAGAAGGAAAUGGCACCCCCACUCUGGUAUUCUUGCCUGGGAAAUCCCAUGGACAGAGGGACCUGGCAGGCUACAAUCCAUGAGGUCGAAAAGAGUCAGACACAGCUUAGCAACUGAGCAUGAGCAAGAUGACAUACAGAGUUUAAAUAUUGAUGAAUAAAUAAAUCCAUGAGAACAGAGGUUUGCCUUAGCCAGGUAGACUUGGAGUGUUAGAAUGAAGAGUUGAUGUCCUACUGACCCAUCCUCAAGUUACCAGUUCAUCUUCUAAUCUUUUCUUUGCCUCUGGCCUACCUGGAUGAGCCUAGAAAGACUUCUGGUCAAAUGAAGCAGCAAGAAAUCUGGACUACCUCGUGAACAACUAGAUAAAAGUCACAGUAGUGACAAGACUUGAGCAAAGCAGAGACCGGAAAUGGAUAAAUGGAAAUGUGACAUUGGAGGCAAUGAGUAAGCAGAUGGGGAGAGAAUAGAAGAGCUUUAGAAAGACGAGAGGAAGAUUGAGUCAUACUGAAAAGAUGAAAAAACAAAUGGUACUUCACCACUGACCUGCCUAAUCUCCCCCUUCUCUCCUGGAAGAUGCUCCUCCUUGUCGCUCCCUGUGCUGCUCUGUGUCUUGUCACUGAAGCGGGGUGGCUGACAUGCCUCUCCUUCCCUAAUGGAGAUGCUAAUCUCUGUACAAGUGUUGGUGUUUUCUUAAAGUCCGUGUAUGUCAGGUUUAUGAUUAUAUCCAUGUUUAUUACCUUCUAGAUUUUUCAAAUUGUGUCUUGCAUCCUGUUCAAUGAGUUAAAAAAUGGGAAGAACUCAGAAUACUUUAAUUUUUGUGUCUUUUACUGUUAAGGAUUAUUAUCUGAAAACAGUUAUCUUAUGAUCCUACAGAUUAUUUUGAAACAUCUAAUGUGUAGAGCUAUGAAAGCUGCAUUGUGAGUUGAGUUGCCAUAUGUCAACAGUGAAGGAAAACUAUUCAUCAUGACAACUUUUAUUAUCACUGUACUGUUUCUGUAAUUCAUAAGAAAAUGGUUCCUCAUUUGAUCUUAACAACUUAAAUGUUUGUAUAACAUGUAAGGUGGUCCUCUGAGAGCCUA